rnacentral:lncRNA from 1 species
UUUAAAGUUAAAUAGGAAUUUUUAAAGAUUAAAUUAUUUGUGUAGCUUGUUAGGAGGUUCCAGCUAGUAACAAUAAACGUAGGUUACAUGUCCAUGAAAAUUUUAAAAUGGUACAGUGUUAAAGUCUUAUAGUGUUAUUUUUUCUGACUUUUGCCAGUUCAUUUACUGACAGAUACUAUUGCUUAUACUGAAGUAAGAUAGUUGAGUAUUUUUGAAUACUUACUAAGUGUUAAUACUCUAUAAAAUUUUUUAAAUAUCUUCUCAGAUGUGACUGUGGAGCAAAGAUAAUUGAUUUCAUUUCAGUAUAUAGUUGCAUUUUGAACUUUAGCUUGGUGGAAUUGAUUGUAUGAGAAAAUUUGUGGUUAAAAUUAGUAAGAGAUAAAACCCUCAGCAGGUUAUUCUUGCCAAGUUAAUGUUUGUAGUGAUGGGGUAAAGGGGUUUAUGUACCAGAAGAAGUUAAUAAGGGUCUGGGAAAAAGGAAGAAGGCUGCAGUGCUGUGACUAGAAUAUCAAAGUUCUAUCUUGCAUCAGUAUUUUCAUUUUACUUCAUCCUUUCGCAUUUGCCCUUGUUAUGAUAUCAGGCUAUUGGUACCUUGAUGCAAAACAUAUUAUAACAAUCUUGAGCACUAGAAAUUGAGGUGGGGGGUGUUCUGUGGUAAGAGUGCUUGCAUACCAUCCAUGAGGUCCUGGUUGGGAACAUAUAAUUUCACUAUUAUAUUUGGUUUAAAGAAUCCACAUUAGUAUUACAUUUUAGUGACAGUAAAUUAUCCCACAAUUUUAAGUUCUCUAAGGUGAAACAAAAAACCAUGGAAUGAGUUCCCCCCAAAAGAAGUGUGUGUGUGUGUGUGUGUGUGUGUCUACAUGUACACACAUACAUGUAUUCAUACUUUGCUUUCAAUGUAAGUACCAUGUGCUUUGGUCAUUGAAUUUAGUCUCUUUUCAGUGUUAGAAAUUUAUUUUAUAAAACUGUGCUGAGACUUUUGGAGAAAAAAUGAAACUGCUGUGAUAAAAACUAAGUGUUUCAAAACUAGACAUUUGGUCAUAUUUUCUUUGGAAAUUGCAAUAAUUUAUAUAUUUGUAUCUUGCUUUGGAACUGUAACAAUAUAUGCUUGUCUACUAUUUUUAAUUUUACAACAAUAAAAUAAAUAUUUUGUUAUUUGCUAGCUUCA